GCUUCAUAUAUUUCAACGUAAGGUACAAUCAUCAUAAUUUUCUUCAGAAACCAGUUUAUCGCAAUUCUGAAACUACUAAUUAAUACCUCAUAUUACGUUUACCGAUUGAAUACAAUUUCACAAUGGCAAAAUAAAAAUCAUUAUCAAUCGUAAAGUUAACGAUUGCUGAUAAAAUGUGCAGGUGUUUGAUUACGCUGACUUUGGGAAAACUUCAUGGCAUCUCGUCAAAGUCAAAAAGAGAUAUGUUUACUUUGUCAUAGCUUGGUUGAAAAAAAGGGUUUCAAUUUAAUUGUUGAUGGCAUGUCAUUGGAAUAAGUGAAGUUGUGGUAGCGCUAAUCGUUGUCCUAGUUUUAUACA